rnacentral:rRNA from 1 species
GACGAACGCUGGCGGCGUGCUUAACACAUGCAAGUCGAACGGUAAGGCCCCAGAUUGAUGGGGUACACGAGUGGCGAACGGGUGAGUAACACGUGGGGGACCUGCCCCGCACUUCGGGAUAAGCCUGGGAAACUGGGUCUAAUACCGGAUACGACCGCACCGAGAGGGUGUGGUGGAAAGUUUUUCGGUGUGGGAUGGGCCCGCGGCCUAUCAGCUUGUUGGUGGGGUAAUGGCCUACCAAGGCGGCGACGGGUAGCCGGCCUGAGAGGGUGGACGGCCACAUUGGGACUGAGACACGGCCCAUACUCCUACGGGAGGCAGCAGUCGGGAAUAUUGCACAUCGUGCCCAACCCGGCUGCAGUCCGGCCGGGUUGGUGAAGACAGCGUUAGCGUUGUAAACGCCUAUAAGCAGGAAAGACAUUUGACUGACGGUAGCGGGAGAAGAAGCCCCGGGUAACUAUGUG